rnacentral:rRNA from 1 species
CCUACGGGAGGCUGCAGUAGGGAAUAUUGCUCAAUGGGGGAAACCCUGAAGCAGCAACGCCGCGUGGAGGAUGAAGGUUUUCGGAUUGUAAACUCCUUUUGUUAGAGAAGAUAAUGACGGUAUCUAACGAAUAAGCACCGGCUAACUCCGUGCCAGCAGCCGCGGGAAUACGGAGGGUGCAAGCGUUACUCGGAAUCACUGGGCGUAAAGAGCGCGUAGGCGGGAUAGCAAGUCAGAUGUGAAAUCCUAUGGCUUAACCAUAGAACUGCAUUUGAAACUGUUAUUCUAGAGUAUGGGAGAGGUAGGUGGAAUUCUUGGUGUAGGGGUAAAAUCCGUAGAGAUCGAGAGGAAUACUCAUUGCGAAGGCGACCUGCUAGAACAUAACUGACGCUGAUGCGCGAAAGCGUGGGGAGCAAACAGGAUUAGAUACCCGAGUAGUC